rnacentral:rRNA from 1 species
GAUGAACGCUGACAGAAUGCUUAACACAUGCAAGUCAACUUGAAUUUGGGUUUUUAACUUAGGUUUGGGUGGCGGACGGGUGAGUAACGCGUAAAGAACUUGCCUCACAGCUAGGGACAACAUUUGGAAACGAAUGCUAAUACCUAAUAUUAUGAUAAUAGGGCAUCCUAUAAUUAUGAAAGCUAUAAGCGCUGUGAGAGAGCUUUGCGUCCCAUUAGCUAGUUGGAGAGGUAACGGCUCACCAAGGCGAUGAUGGGUAGCCGGCCUGAGAGGGUGAUCGGCCACAAGGGGACUGAGACACGGCCCUUACUCCUACGGGAGGCAGCAGUGGGGAAUAUUGGACAAUGGACCGAGAGUCUGAUCCAGCAAUUCUGUGUGCACGAUGAAGUUUUUCGGAAUGUAAAGUGCUUUCAGUUGGGAAGAAACAAAUGACGGUACCAACAGAAGAAGUGACGGCUAAAUACGU